UACGUAGGGGGCGAGCGUUGUCCGGAUUUAUUGGGCGUAAAGAGCGUGUAGGCGGCCAGGUAGGUCUGCUGUGAAAACUCGAGGCUUAACCUCGAGAUGUCGGUGGAAACCAUCUGGCUAGAGUCCGGAAGAGGAGAGUGGAAUUCCUGGUGUAGCGGUGAAAUGCGCAGAUAUCAGGAAGAACACCUAUGGCGAAGGCAGCUCUCUGGGACGGUACUGACGCUGAGACGCGAAAGCGUGGGGAGCGAACAGG
rnacentral:rRNA from 1 species